rnacentral:misc_RNA from 1 species
GAUGAAGAACGUAGCGAAAUGCGAUACGUAGUGUGAAUUGCAGAAUUCAGUGAAUCAUCGAAUCUUUGAACGCACAUUGCACCUCUCGGUAUUCCGGGAGGUAUGCCUGUUCGAGCGUCAUUUGUACCCUCAAGCUCUGCUUGGUGUUGGGCGACGUCCUCUUUGGGGACGCGCCUCGAAACGCUCGGCGGCGUGGCACCGGCUUUAAGCGUAGCAGAAUCUUUCGCUUUGGAAGUCGGGGCCCCGUCUGCCGGAAGACCUGCUCGCAAGGUUGACCUCGGAUCAGGCAGGGAUACCCGCUGAACUUAAGCAUAUCAAUAGCGGAGGA